UACCGGGAAGCUUAGUUGGUAAAGCACUUGUCUAGGGAAUAAGAGUCGUAAGUUCAAAUCUCACCUGAGCAG
rnacentral:tRNA from 1 species